rnacentral:lncRNA from 1 species
ACCUUAGUCCUACGCAAUUAGUGUCUCUAAUUCAAAAUAAAGUCUGAAAACCAUGGGCUAGAGAAUUCAGUGUUCACGAUAUCUAAAAAUCCAUACAUGUGUACGUCCCUGAACCUUAGAGGUCAUUGAGCUAACAGUAUUUUUUUUUUUACUUUUAAUAGGAUUGAAAUUAUGUUUUACACUAUAUCACAGAUAUAGAGCUGUCCCCACUGUAAUGGUCACCGUUACAGCAAAGGUGCCCUUUCUCCCACUGCUGGCGAGCACCUGGGCCUUUGCCUCUGCCUCUCCAGGUUCACACAGCUAGCCUUGGCCCUUCUUUUCUUGAAUCAAUGUAAGUUACUCUUCCGUGCAAUCCCUGAGCAACUGGCAUCAUUCUAAAUCUACUGAUGCUAGGGAUAUAACAUUUUUGGAUUGAAUAGUUUUUAUACUAUUGAUGCUUCUACCAAACAUGUAACUUUUAUAACCUGGGUGAAAAGAUCUUUUUUCCCAGUGGUAUCUUUUCUGGUCUCAGCCCUUAUAUAUCACCUAAAUAUCUGAAUCUUUCA